UACAGAGGGUGCAAGCGUUAAUCGGAUUUACUGGGCGUAAAGCGUGCGUAGGCGGUUUGUUAAGUCGGAUGUGAAAUCCCUGGGCUCAACCUGGGAACUGCAUUCGAUACUGGCAGGCUAGAGAACGGUAGAGGGAGGCGGAACUCCAGGUGUAGCAGUGAAAUGCGUAGAUAUCUGGAAGAACACCGAUGGCGAAGGCAACCUCCUGGGCCUGUUCUGACGCUGAGGCACGAAAGCGUGGGGAGCAAAC
rnacentral:rRNA from 1 species